UUUCAUAAAGAAGUCUUGUUUUAAAAAACGUUAACUUCCGUUCGUACUCAUACAUUGCCUCCUAUGCUUAUAUUCUGCCUAAUCUAUGUAGGGACUUGAUAUGUGCCUACUCAAGGUUUGCCUCAGGUCCCAGCAUAGAAUAGGCAGACUUAUAGAGGGCGGUACUUGCGCAGUAGCCUGUAUGGAGAGACGUUACAUUUUGUAAGUCUACUCCAAGCAUGCACGAAGCAAGGAACGUGUGAGGAAAUUGAGUGUUGUGGUACGGUGUUGUUACUUCGAAACGUGGUCGGAAUUCGGAUAUUAUACCCGCCUAACUGUUGUUUAUAUUGUGUCGAAACGGGUUGUGCUUGGUGCAGAACGGUACUGAAUGUGUUAUAGACGAAGGCUGCUCGUUUAUUACUUACCUCGCUUCGCUGCCUUUCUUUGUUUGGCGUUAACUCAUCGACAUUCGGUGGGUCGCAAAAAUUACUUUUUUCUUGAAUAUAUGCAGUGGUCCUGUGAAUUAUUUCCUGCAGUCGAUUCAUCUUGUCUUUUUGUAAGUGUAUCCAUGGAAACACAAUAUAUUGUUAUGAAACAGUUUCAGAGCGCAACAAUGUAGCUUUCUCUUGUUGAUAAUUUUAACAAUUACAUGCAGUAUGUUCCAGUUUAGAAUUCUUUGCUGGUCUUGAAUGUUAAAUAUUUGAGACUCAACAUGUUCAGAAGUAAUAUAAAUAUAUCUUUCAUGGAAAUAAACCAAUCACUACCACACUGACCGUCACCCUCUGUCUUGUAAUAUGUUUAAUUUGCUAACCUAUACAUGGGAUAUUGCAACAGAUCUCCCAUGUGAAGAAAAAUUUGUUUAUGUCUCGCUGUUAUGUAUUCAGUACUUCAAUUACCCUUAGAAACAACAACAAUUAGCUACUAUUUAGGACAUUCCUCUAGUCCUUUCUUUAGACUAACAUAAAAAAAAUACUAAACUGCCGAAUACACAUUUACCGUAGACAAGACAUCUGGAAUAGUUUAUGGGUCUGCAUAUGUAUAUGACAACUAGAAGCUGCACCUCUGCCCUCCCAUUGUCUAUGAAAACCAACCAAGGGACAACUUGAGAUGUUCACUAUGACAAUGUCAAGGAAUGCAAUGGUGAACUUUCAUAAGGCAAGAUGCUGAAGUUGAUAAUGGAGGUUCAUUAUGAAUGCUACCUGGAAAAUUUUGGAUAAUCGGAGCAUGGAUAGCAUGUUUACCUUGGUUACAAGAAUCCAAGUCUUCAACCCAUGAACUGGGAUACUCAGUCGAUAGAUAUGACGAAUCUCCGGGAGUGUACUAUGAACACUUGGGAGAAGCUACCUUUUAUAACACCGAAUGGAAAACGGUAGUAUAUGUAAAUUUGAAACAAACGGACAGUGAAACAGAUUUACUUGGCCAGUACAUUAAUUACGUGAACAAAUUGUGCCAUGCCACUGAGAUUCAAAAUUCGACAGAUUGCCAUCAUUUCUACACUAUAGCCAAAGAUAGAUUUAGGCAGGUACGAGGAAGUGAAAAAGUACUAAAAGAAUUAAUUGGAAGUAAUAAUAAGCCUACCCGCGUACACAGAGGAGCUUUAAAUUUCAUAGGAGACAUUAGUAAAAUUCUAUUUGGUACACUAGACGCCGAUGAUGCUGAUUACUAUAAUGAACAAAUUAAACAUUUUGAGGAGAGCACGGAGGAUAUGACUAGCCUUAUGAAACAACAAUUAUCUAUAAUAAAGGCAUCACUAGGAACUUUUAAUGACACUAUUUCGGAUAUGGAAUAUAACAACAAAAUAGUAAAGGAAGGAUUGACUAGUUUAAAAUCCUACAUGGAGAAGGUUAUCUCAGAGACUGAAUCCCACUUGAAUAUAUUGAAUGUUAAGGUGACAACCGAAGGACACAUCGCUGGGGUCAACAAUGCUUUAGACGCCAUGCAGAGAAAUUUGGAUUUGAUGAUAGAGAUAUAGUUUCUCCAACACUUAUUUUGGAAACCUUAAGGAAAAGUCUUCCAU